AUUGAACGCUGGCGGCAGGCCUAACACAUGCAAGUCGAACGAGUGGCGGACGGGUGAGUAAUGUCUGGGACACUGCCUGAUGGAGGGGGAUCACUACUGGAAACGGUCGCUAAUACCGCAUACCAUCAGAUGUGCCCAGAUGGGAGUAGCUAGUUGGUGUGGUCACGGCUCACCAAGGCGACGAUCCCUCGCUGGUCUGAGAGGAAGACCAGCCACACUGGAACUGAGACACGGUCCAGACUCCUACGGGAGGCAGCAGUGGGGAAUAUUGCACAAUGGGCGCAAGCCUGAUGCAGCCAUGCCGCGUGUAUGAAGAAGGCCUUCGGGUUGUAAAGUACUUUCAGCGGGGAGGCGUUACCCGCAGAAGAAGCACCGGCUAACUCCGUGCCAGCAGCCGCGGUAAUAC
rnacentral:rRNA from 1 species